rnacentral:tRNA from 1 species
GAGGGUCUAGCUCAAGUGGUAGAGCACAUGGUUGGCAUGCAUGAGGUCCUGGGUUCAAUCCCCAGUACUUCCU